rnacentral:rRNA from 1 species
GACGAACGCUGGCGGCGUGCUUAACACAUGCAAGUCGAACGGAAAGGCCCUGCUUUUGUUGGGUGCUCGUGUGGCGAGCGGGUGAGUAACACGUGAGUAAACUCCCCUUGUCUUUGGGAUAACUUCACGGGACUGGGGCUCAUACCGGGUAUGAGCUCCUGCUGCACGGUGUGGGUUGGAAAGUUUCGGCGGUUGGGGAUGGACUCGCGGCUUAUCAGCUUGUUGGUGGGGUAGUGGCUUACAAAGGCUUUGACGGGUAGCCGGCCUGAGAGGGUGACCGGCGACAAUGGGACUGAGAGACGGCCCAGACGCCUACGUGAGGCAGCAGGGGGGAAUAUUGCAGAACGGGGGGAAGCGUGAUGCAGCAACGCCGCGUGCGGGAUGAUGGCCUUCGGGUGGUAAACCGCUUUCGACGGUGACGAAGCGGGAGUGACGGUAAUGGGUAAAGAAGCACCGGCUAACUACGUG